rnacentral:tRNA from 1 species
UGGCUCAGUGGUAGAGUGCUUGCCUUGCAUGCAUGAGGCCCUGGGUUCAAUUCCCUAG